CCCGGCGACCGGCGCACGGGUGAGUAACACGUAUGCAACCUGGCCGCCACAGGGGGAUAACCCGCGGAAACGCGGCCUAAUACCUCGUGACGCCACCGGAGGGCAUCCUCCGGUGGCCAAAGGAGCGAUCCGGUGGCGGAUGGGCAUGCGGCGCAUUAGCUAGACGGCGGGGUGACGGCCCACCGUGGCGACGAUGCGUAGGGGUUCUGAGAGGAAGGCCCCCCACACUGGGACUGAGACACGGCCCAGACUCCUACGGGAGGCAGCAG
rnacentral:rRNA from 1 species